GCUGGGUGAGGUGGCACGCACCUGUAGUCCCAGCUACUUGGGAGGCUGAGGCAGGAGGAUUGCUUGAGCCCAGGAGUUGGAGGCUGCAGUGAGCCAUGAUGGUGCCACUGCACUCUAGCUUGGGUAACAGAGCAAGAUCUUGUCUCAA
ensembl:misc_RNA Metazoa_SRP Metazoan signal recognition particle RNA